rnacentral:ncRNA from 3 species
AUAGGGGCGAAAGACUAA